GUACUUUCACACCACUGUCCCAAGUUAGAGGGAGGGUUUUGAUCUCGCUUACAUGUUGAACCCCACCCCCACACAUUCUGUACAAAUGUGCCUGUCAGGAGCCUGUUAUUCAGUUGUUAAUGUUUGUUGAUGUGUUACAUAUUAUUUUUUUUCGUUAAUUUUUUGUACUUAAAUUAGGUGGUUUGUUUUCUUGUUUGAAAUGUUUUACAUUUGUCAUUUCACGGCCUUUUAUAGCUGACUGUAUGGUAUGGGCUUUGCUCAUUGUUGAAGGUUGUACGAUUAACUAUAGUCAUGAUCAUGUCAGAUGAUAGUUGUUAAUUUCUUUGUCAUUUGGUCUCUUGUGGAGAGUUGUCUCAUUGGCAAUCAUACCACAUCUUCUUUUUUUAUAUUUGGGACAUUCAAGGAAACAAUUCUUUUAAAAAUAUUUGUUCUGCAAUGAUUUUCAAACUUGUCUAAAAUAUUGAUGACAUAAAACUUAACAUAAAUUUCAUAACAAGAGUGCACACACUGAAAUGUCUCUACUUCUUUACUAAUCAUUGAUAUUAUGUUGAUGGUCCUAAAUAUAACUGUCACAAUGACAUAAACUUAACAUUUACCAAUUGAGGUCAAGGUCAAAUAAAACCUGUGUGACUAACAUAUAGUUCAUACAAUAUUUCCAUACACCAAAUAAUUAUUAGAUAUAGGAGUAUGUGGUGUGAGUGCCAAUGAGACAACUCUCCAUCCAAAUAACAAUUUAUAAAAGUAAACCAUUAUAGGUCAAUGUACAGCCAUCAACACGGAGCCUUGGCUCAC
rnacentral:lncRNA from 1 species